GAUCCUGGCUCAGGACGAACGCUGGCGGCGCGCCUAACACAUGCAAGUCGAACGGAGCUGAGAGGAGCUUGCUUUUCUUAGCUUAGUGGCGAACGGGUGAGUAACGCGUGAGUAACCUGCCCUGGAGUGGGGGACAACAGUUGGAAACGACUGCUAAUACCGCAUAAGCCCACGGUGCCGCAUGGCACUGCGGGAAAAGGAUUUAUUCGCUUCAGGAUGGACUCGCGUCCAAUUAGCUAGUUGG
rnacentral:rRNA from 1 species